UUCCGGUUGAUCCCGCCGGACCUUACUGCUAUCGGGGUGGGACUAAGACAUGCGAGUCGAGCGUCUCUAGCUAUGUUGAGACGCGGCAUACGGCUCAGUAACACGUGGCUAACCUACCCUCAGGACGGGGACAAACCCGGGAAACUGGGGCUAAUAUCCGAUAGGCGAGGAAUCCUGGAAUGGUUCUUCACCCAAAGGACAUUGGAAACAUGCUUUCUCUGUCGCCUGGGGAUGGGGCCGCGUCCGAUCAGGUUGUUGGUGAGGUAAUGGCUCACCAAGCCUUUAACCGGUACGGGCCGUGAGAGCGGUAGCCCGGAGAUGGGUACUGAGACAAGGACCCAGGCCCUACGGGGCGCAGCAGUCGCGAAAACUCCGCAAUGCACGAAAGUGUGACGGGGCUACCCCGAGUGCCGUCCGCUGAGGAUGGCUUUUCCUUGGUGUAACUAGCCGGGGGAAUAAGGAGAGGGCAAGACUGGUGUCAGCCGCCGCGGUAAUACCAGCUCUCCGAGUGGUAGGGAUGAUUAUUGGGCUUAAAGCGUCCGUAGCCGGCUUAGCAAGUUUCCUGUUAAAUUCAGCGACCUAAUCGUUGAGCCGCGGGAAAUACUACUAGGCU
rnacentral:rRNA from 1 species